rnacentral:hammerhead_ribozyme from 1 species
GCACUGCUGAGGAGUCCCACAAUAGGACGAAACGACUGGCUGUCCAGUGC